UAGAGUUUGAUCCUGGCUCAGAACGAACGCUGGCGGCGCGCCUAAUACAUGCAAGUCGAGCGAGAAGACGUAGCAAUACGUUUGUAAAGCGGCGAACGGGUGAGGAAUACAUGGGUAACCUACCCUCGAGUGGGGAAUAACUAGCCGAAAGGUUAGCUAAUACCGCAUACGGCUCCCGGUCUGCGGAUCGGGAGAGAAAGCGAUACCGUGGGUAUCGCGCUCUUGGAUGGGCUCAUGUCCUAUCAGCUUGUUGGUGAGGUAACGGCUCACCAAGGCUUCGACGGGUAGCUGGUCUGAGAGGACGAUCAGCCACACUGGCACUGCGACACGGGCCAGACUCCUACGGGAGGCAGCAGUAAGGAAUAUUGCGCAAUGGGCGACAGCCUGACGCAGCGACGCCGCGUGGGGGAUGAAGGUCUUCGGAUUGUAAACCCCUUUCGGCAGGGAAGAUGGAACGGGUAACCGUUCGGACGGUACCUGCAGAAGCAGCCACGGCUAACUUCGUGCCAGCAGCCGCGGUAAUACGAAGGUGGCAAGCGUUGUUCGGAUUUACUGGGCGUACAGGGAGCGUAGGCGGUUGGGUAAGCCCUCCGUGAAAUCUCCGGGCCUAACCCGGAAAGUGCGGAGGGGACUGCUCGGCUAGAGGAUGGGAGAGGAGCGCGGAAUUCCCGGUGUAGCGGUGAAAUGCGUAGAGAUCGGGAGGAAGGCCGGUGGCGAAGGCGGCGCUCUGGAACAUUUCUGACGCUGAGGCUCGAAAGCGUGGGGAGCAAACAGGAUUAGAUACCCUGGUAGUCCACGCCUUAAACGAUGGAUACUAAGUGUCGGCGGGUUACCGCCGGUGCCGCAGCUAACGCAUUAAGUAUCCCGCCUGGGAAGUACGGCCGCAAGGUUGAAACUCAAAGGAAUUGACGGGGGCCCGCACAAGCGGUGGAGCAUGUGGUUUAAUUCGACGCAACGCGAAGAACCUUACCCAGGCUGGACAUGCAGGUAGUAGAAGGGUGAAAGCCUAACGAGGUAGCAAUACCAUCCUGCUCAGGUGCUGCAUGGCUGUCGUCAGCUCGUGCCGUGAGAUGUUGGGUUAAGUCCCGCAACGAGCGCAACCCUUGCCGUUAGUUGCCAGCAUUAAGUUGGGCACUCUAACGGGACUGCCGACCUUCAAGUCGGAGGAAGGUGGGGAUGACGUCAAGUCCUCAUGGCCCUUACGUCCAGGGCUACACACGUGCUACAAUGGCCGGUACAAUGGGUCGCGAACCUGCGAAGGGGAGCUAAUCUCAAAAAACCGGCCUCAGUACAGAUAAGAGUCUGCAACUCGACUCUUUGAAGUCGGAAUCGCUAGUAAUCGCUGAUCAGCAUGGCAGCGGUGAAUACGUUCCCGGGCCUUGUACACACCGCCCGUCACACCAUGGGAAUCGACUGCUCCAGAAGUGGCUGCACCAACCCGCAAGGGAGGAAGGCCCCCAAGGAGUGCUCGGUGACUGGGGUGAAGUCGUAACAAGGUAACCGUAA
rnacentral:rRNA from 1 species